UAGGGAAUNUUNGGCAAUGGACGGAAGUCUGACCGAGCAACGCCGCNUGAGUGAAGAAGGUUUUCGGAUNGUAAAGCUNUGUNGUAAGAGAAGAACGAGUGUGAGAGUGGAAAGUUCACACUGUGACGGUAUCUUACCAGAAAGGGACGGCUAANUACGUGCCAGCAGCCGCGGUAAUACGUAGGUCCCGAGCGUUGUCNNGANUUAUUGGGNGUAAAGCGAGCGCAGGCGGUNAGAUAAGUNNGAAGUUAAAGGCUGUGGCUUAACCAUAGUACGCUUUGGAAACUGUUUAACUUGAGUGCAAGAGGGGAGAGUGGAAUUCCAUGUGUAGCGGUGAAAUGNGUAGAUAUAUGGAGGAACACCGGUGGCGAAAGCGGCUCUCUGGCUUGUAACUGACGNUGAGGCUNGAAAGCGUGGGGAGCAAACANGAUNAGAUACCNUGGUNGUCCACGCCGUAAACGAUGAGUGNUAGGUGUUAGACCCUUUCCGGGGUUUAGUGCCGCAGNUAACGCAUUAAGCACUCCGCCUGGGGAGUACGACCGCAAGGUUG
rnacentral:rRNA from 1 species